ensembl:snoRNA small nucleolar RNA SNORD41
CUGGAUGUGAUGGACAACUCUGUCUUGAGUAACUAUGAUAGCUAUUGUAUUCAUACUGUCUGAUCCAG